rnacentral:tRNA from 1 species
CCUGGUGGCUCAGAUGGUAAAGCGUCUGUCUACAAGGCGGGAGACCCAGGUUUGAUUCCUGGGUCAGGA